rnacentral:tRNA from 1 species
GUCCAGGGAUGGGAAUCGAACCCACAGUGUUCCGCUUAUCGGGAAGAUGCCAUGUCCUUUAAGGCUACCCUGGA